GUCAGCACCCCGCACUAAAGUGACGGGGCUUCGCGCCCCCAAGUUUUAGUUAGCUGACCCGCCUAAGUACCCGGAGUACUACGUUAUUAGUAAGUGUUAAAGUCCCACCUACGGAUGCAAUCAGGCCAGUCUGUAGCUCUGGAAUUAGAUGGUUAAACAGGUUUACGAGGGGUAAGCCAGUGCUGUCUAAAAAGUACCGACUAAUAACCUUGGCAAGGCUCACAUUAC
rfam:Scytonema hofmannii PCC 7110 genomic scaffold Scaffold1, whole genome shotgun sequence.